UGGGGGAGAGCGAGGGCGUGGGGGCCACUGAGGCUGUACCUCUCUGGGGUCCUGCCUCUUGGGGAGGGAGUAAGGGAGGCAGGCUGGUGAGGGGCCCGGGCCUCCCUGUCCGCCUGGAAACCGAGGUGGCACGGCUCUAGGGGCUCCGGGCUCUCGCUGUCACUUUCCUUCUUGCGGCUCCCUAGAGCUCUGGGGGAGCUGGACAGAGAAGGGUGGGGAUCCUGACGCCCAUCCGAGCCAGGCCACUGCUCCCUCCACGGACUCCUGCCCCCUUCCCUGCCCACAUCCCAUUUCCAGCCCCUGGAGGAGAGCUUCCAGCGGCCCCGGACAGAGGUCAGACGGCCGUGGGCAUCCCGUCCCUGCUCACCUGCCAGCCCAGGGACUUCUCAGCCUCCCUGAGCCAUCCAGGGGCACGUGCAUCCGGAACCAGCUGCCAGCACGGUCCGUGACCUCAGACCACCUCUCUCCUGCCCCUGCGCCAGCACCCUCCAUCCCCACUCCCACUCCUCUGAGCCGGUGCAGGGGGUCGGCCACCGUGUGUGAGCUAUGCAGUAGAAGGUCCUGCCUCGGAUCCUCUGUAGGACCACAGAGGAAGGGAACGGAAGGAACUAGAACACAGGGAGCUCUUCACCCGGAAUUAAGUUGGAGCCCAAGGACAGAGCUGUGAACGAGACAGACAGUUCCCUGGCUGUGCGGUGGCUGGCAACCCAGGUGUGGAGGCCUGUGACGGUCCGGAAGGAGACGAGAGACAAAAACACGGGUGUCCUGGGGCAUGAUGGCGUGAUGCAUUUUCUGCAGCCUGGGAGCUGGUCGGCGAGCCACGUCAGGGCGGCCUUGCUAGUUGGGGGUGGGGGGUGGCGGUCCAGAAAGCACUCACAGGUGGCGUUUUCAGAUCAUAGGAGUUGGGGAGA